AUGAAGAGAAACCUCCUCAUCAUCCUCAUCAUCACAUCAGGUGUGUUUGGUGCUGAUGAAAUCAGACCAUCAAAAGAUCAGGAGACUGAUGUUUCUGGAAAAGAAGGAGAACCUGUUACACUGAAAUGCUCUUAUGAAACAAGUAGUCAAUAUGUCUAUCUCUACUGGUACAGACAGUAUCCUAACAGAGCUCUACAGUAUCUACUGCUGAGAGGUGCUCGAAGGCGGAGUGACAGUAAUAUUGCAGACAGCAGAUUUUCAUCAACUACAUCCAGCUCUUCCACUGAGCUCACUCUUAGAGAACCAAGACUGUCAGAUACAGCUCUCUACUACUGUGCUCUUAGAGAUGUUAGAGCCCAGUGAUACAAAGUCUCUGAGACGCUUUACAAAAACUCACACACCUUCUGUUUGCUUUGAACACAAAGAGAUCAAAGUAACAUC